AUUGAAUUUCAGCCCCUUGGCUAAGAUCAAAUGUAAUAUUUGUUUUAUUGAUCUAAGAUCAGGUACAUCCUCAGUUGAGUACAGUAUAUUACAUGGCUUUAGGAUGCAGAACGGUGAAAUUGCUCAAUUCAUUCUGCAUAUUCACCUGGUACUCUAGAGCCUCCAGGAGUGAUGCAGCAUCU
ensembl:snRNA U2 U2 spliceosomal RNA